rnacentral:rRNA from 1 species
GACGAACGCUGGCGGCGUGCCUAAUACAUGCAAGUCGAGCGAGUCUGCCUUGAAGAUCGGAGUGCUUGCACUCUGUGAAACAAGAUACAGGCUAGCGGCGGACGGGUGAGUAACACGUGGGUAACCUGCCCAAGAGAUCGGGAUAACACCUGGAAACAGAUGCUAAUACCGGAUAACAACAGAUGAUGCCUAUCAACUGUUUAAAAGAUGGUUCUGCUAUCACUCUUGGAUGGACCUGCGGUGCAUUAGCUAGUUGGUAGGGUAACGGCCUACCAAGGCGAUGAUGCAUAGCCGAGUUGAGAGACUGAUCGGCCACAUUGGGACUGAGACACGGCCCAAACUCCUACGGGAGGCAGCAGUAGGGAAUCUUCCACAAUGGACGCAAGUCUGAUGGAGCAACGCCGCGUGAGUGAAGAAGGGUUUCGGCUCGUAAAGCUCUGUUGUUGGUGAAGAAGGACAGGGGUAGUAACUGACCUUUGUUUGACGGUAAUCAAUGAGAAAGACACGGCUAACUACGUG